rnacentral:rRNA from 1 species
GACGAACGCUGGCGGCGUGCCUAAUACAUGCAAGUCGAGCGGACUUUCAAGAAGCUUGCUUUUUGAAAGUUAGCGGCGGACGGGUGAGUAACACGUGGGCAACCUGCCUGUAAGACGGGGAUAACUCCGGGAAACCGGGGCUAAUACCGGAUAAUAUCUUUCUUCGCAUGAAGGAAGGUUGAAAGGCGGCGCAAGCUGCCGCUUGCAGAUGGGCCCGCGGAGCAUUAGCUAGUUGGUGAGGUAACGGCUCACCAAGGCGACGAUGCGUAGCCGACCUCAGAGGGUGAUCGGCCACACUGGGACUGAGACACGGCCCAGACUCCUACGGGAGGCAGCAGUAGGGAAUCUUCCGCAAUGGACGAAAGUCUGACGGAGCAACGCCGCGUGAGCGAAGAAGGUCUUCGGAUCGUAAAGCUCUGUUGUCGGGGAAGAACAAGUACCGUUCGAAUAGGGCGGUACCUUGACGGUACCUGACCAGAAAGCCACGGCUAACUACGUGCCAGCCGCCGCCGUAA